GACACAACCAGGAACUGCCCCAGGAGUGACUUCACGAGCAGUUUAUUCAUUGCAAUUGUUCUCAUGGUGAUAAAGAAAAAGUACCAGGAGAUGGAUCCUGGACUGGAAGGUCAGAGAAGCCUCCCUGAAAAGGUGGCAUCUAAGCUGAGGCUGUGAAUGCUGAGCAGAAGUUAGCCCGUGGCCAGGGGAGGUCAGAGGCUGGAGUAAGAGGUGGGCGCUGCAGGAACCGAUUUUCUCCAGGGUGUUUUCACGCAAUUGGAAGAUUAUUUGGCCUCUUUCUGAACAAUGUCCAGCUGGGUCCCAGCCUUACAGAGAAGCUAUGUUUGGAAUUAGCAAACACAAGCAUUCGGAAUCUGUCUCUGAGUAACAGCCAGCUGUCCACCACCAGCAAUACAACUUUCUUGGGACUAAAGUGGACAAAUCUCACUAUGCUCGAUCUUUCCUACAACAACUUAAAUGUGGUUGGUAACGAUUCCUUUGCUUGGCUUCCACAACUAGAAUAUUUCUUCCUAGAGUAUAAUAAUAUACAGCAUUUGUUUUCUCACUCUUUGCACGGGCUUUUCAAUGUGAGGUACCUGAAUUUGAAACGGUCUUUUACUAAACAAAGUAUUUCCCUUGCCUCACUCCC
rnacentral:lncRNA from 10 species